rnacentral:rRNA from 1 species
GUCUACAGCCAAACCACCCUGAACAUGCCCGAUCUCAUCUGAUCUCAGAAGCUAAGCAGGGUUGGGCCUGGUUAGUACUUGGAUGGGAGACCUGCACAGUGGGAAUGGCUUUCAGUGAAGCUGGAGCCC